GGGCCCGCACAAGCAGCGGAGCAUGUGGCUUAAUUCGAAGCAACGCGAAGAACCUUACCAGGGCUUGACACCCAGGUGAAGCGGCGGAGACGCCGUGGCCGAGAGGAGCCUGGACAGGUGGUGCAUGGCUGUCGUCAGCUCGUGUCGUGAGAUGUUGGGUUAAGUCCCGCAACGAGCGCAACCCCCGUCGCAUGUUGCCAGCGGUCCGGCCGGGCACCCAUGCGAGACCGCCGGCGUCAAGCCGGAGGAAGGCGGGGACGACGUCAAGUCAUCAUGCCCCUUAUGCCCUGGGCUGCACACGUGCUACAAUGGCCGGCACAACGGGCUGCCACCGCGCGAGCGGGAGCGAAUCCCCAAAGCCGGCCCCAGUUCGGACUGGAGGCUGCAACCCGCCUCCACGAAGUCGGAGUUGCUAGUAAUCGCGGAUCAGCACGCCGCGGUGAAUGCGUUCCCGGGCCUU
rnacentral:rRNA from 1 species